AUAACAUGAUGGGAGCUUGCUCCCAUGCGUCGAGCGGCGGACGGGUGAGUAACACGUGGGAAUCUGCCCAUUAGUGGGGGAUAACUCGGGGAAACUCGAGCUAAUACCGCAUAAUCCCUACGGGGGAAAGCAGGGGAUCUUCGGACCUUGCGCUGAUGGAUGAGCCCGCGUCGGAUUAGCUUGUUGGUGGGGUAAUGGCCCACCAAGGCGACGAUCCGUAACUGGUCUGAGAGGAUGGCCAGUCACACCGGGACUGAGACACGGCCCGGACUCCUACGGGAGGCAGCAGUGGGGAAUCUUGGACAAUGGGCGCAAGCCUGAUCCAGCCAUGCCGCGUGUGUGAAGAAGGCCUUCGGGUUGUAAAGCACUUUCAGUAGGGAGGAAGGCUUUGGGCUAAUACCCUGGAGUACUUGACGUUACCUACAGAAGAAGCACCGGCUAAUUUCGUGCCAGCAGCCGCGGUAAUACGAAAGGUGCGAGCGUUAAUCGGAAUUACUGGGCGUAAAGCGCGCGUAGGCGGUGUGUUAAGUCGGAUGUGAAAGCCCAGGGCUCAACCUUGGAAUUGCAUCCGAUACUGGCACGCUAGAGUGCAGUAGAGGGAGGUGGAAUUUCGGUGUAGCGGUGAAUGCGUAGAGAUCGGAGGAAACAGUGCGAGGCGGCUCUGACUGACCUGACGCUGAGUGCGAAGCGUGGGAGCANAGGAUAGAUACCUGGUAGUCACGCCGUAACGAUGUCACUAGCCGUGGGGGUCCUAGUGACUUGGGUGCCCAGCUACGCAAUAGUNACGCCUGGGAAUCGGCGCAGGUAAACUCAUUAUUGCGGGCGACACCGUGACUUGUUAUCAUCACGAAACUCAGCUACUCGCACUCUAAUAUGUCUGGACAGACGGUCAUCUUUACCGUUGAUUGUUUCCU
rnacentral:rRNA from 1 species